rnacentral:rRNA from 1 species
CAGCAGCCGCGGUAAUACCGAGGGUGCGAGCGUUAAUCGGAUUUACUGGGCGUAAAGCGUGCGUAGGCGGCUUCUUAAGUCGGAUGUGAAAUCCCUGAGCUUAACUUAGGAAUUGCAUUCGAUACUGGGAAGCUAGAGUAUGGGAGAGGAUGGUAGAAUUCCAGGUGUAGCGGUGAAAUGCGUAGAGAUCUGGAGGAAUACCGAUGGCGAAGGCAGCCAUCUGGCCUAAUACUGACGCUGAGGUACGAAAGCAUGGGGAGCAAACAGGAUUAGAUACCCGCGUAGUCCCUGUCUCUUAUAA